rnacentral:rRNA from 1 species
UACGAAGGGGGCUAGCGUUGCUCGGAAUUACUGGGCGUAAAGCGUAUGCAGGCGGAUCGUUAAGUUAGAGGUGAAAUCCCGAGGCUCAACCUCGGAACUGCCUUUGAUACUGGCGAUCUUGAGUCCGGGAGAGGUGAGUGGAACUCCGAGUGUAGAGGUGAAAUUCGUAGAUAUUCGGAAGAACACCAGUGGCGAAGGCGGCUCACUGGCCCGGUACUGACGCUGAGAUACGAAAGCGUGGGGAGCAAACAGG